GGUUAACCGUAUAGGGGAGCCGGAGGGAAACCGAGUCUUAAUUGGGCGUUAAGUUGCAGGGUAUAGACCCGAAACCCGGUGAUCUAGCCAUGGGCAGGUUGAAGGUUGGGUAACACUAACUGGAGGACCGAACCGACUAAUGUUGAAAAAUUAGCGGAUGACCUGUGGCUGGGGGUGAAAGGCCAAUCAAACCGGGAGAUAGCUGGUUCUCCCCGAAAGCUAUUUAGGUAGCGCCUCGUGAAUUCAUCUCCGGGGGUAGAGCACUGUUUCGGCUAGGGGGCCAUCCCGGCUUACCAACCCGAUGCAAACUGCGAAUACCGGAGAAUGUUAUCACGGGAGACACACGGCGGGUGCUAACGUCCGUCGUGAAGAGGGAAACAACCCAGACCGCCAGCUAAGGUCCCAAAGUCAUGGUUAAGUGGGAAACGAUGUGGGAAGGCCCAGACAGCCAGGAUGUUGGCUUAGAAGCAGCCAUCAUUUAAAGAAAGCGUAAUAGCUCACUGGUCGAGUCGGCCUGCGCGGAAGAUGUAACGGGGCUAAACCAUGCACCGAAGCUGCGGCAGCGACACUGUGUGUUGUUGGGUAGGGGAGCGUUCUGUAAGCCUGUGAAGGUGUGUCGUGAGGCAUGCUGGAGGUAUCAGAAGUGCGAAUGCUGACAUAAGUAACGAUAAAGCGGGUGAAAAGCCCGCUCGCCGGAAGACCAAGGGUUCCUGUCCAACGUUAAUCGGGGCAGGGUGAGUCGACCCCUAAGGCGAGGCCGAAAGGCGUAGUCGAUGGGAAACGGGUUAAUAUUCCCGUACUUGGUGUUACUGCGAAGGGGGGACGGAGAAGGCUAUGUUGGCCGGGCGACGGUUGUCCCGGUUUAAGCGUGUAGGUGUGUGUUCCAGGUAAAUCCGGUUCACUUUAACACUGAGGCGUGACGACGAGGCACUACGGUGCUGAAGCAACAAAUGCCCUGCUUCCAGGAAAAGCCUCUAAGCAUCAGGUAACAUCAAAUCGUACCCCAAACCGACACAGGUGGUCAGGUAGAGAAUACCAAGGCGCUUGAGAGAACUCGGGUGAAGGAACUAGGCAAAAUGGUGCCGUAACUUCGGGAGAAGGCACGCUGACACGUAGGUGAAGUGAUUUACUCAUGGAGCUGAAGUCAGUCGAAGAUACCAGCUGGCUGCAACUGUUUAUUAAAAACACAGCACUGUGCAAACACGAAAGUGGACGUAUACGGUGUGACGCCUGCCCGGUGCCGGAAGGUUAAUUGAUGGGGUCAGCGCAAGCGAAGCUCCUGAUCGAAGCCCCGGUAAACGGCGGCCGUAACUAUAACGGUCCUAAGGUAGCGAAAUUCCUUGUCGGGUAAGUUCCGACCUGCACGAAUGGCGUAAUGAUGGCCAGGCUGUCUCCACCCGAGACUCAGUGAAAUUGAACUCGCUGUGAAGAUGCAGUGUACCCGCGGCAAGACGGAAAGACCCCGUGAACCUUUACUAUAGCUUGACACUGAACAUUGAGCCUUGAUGUGUAGGAUAGGUGGGAGGCUUUGAAGCGUGGACGCCAGUCUGCGUGGAGCCGACCUUGAAAUACCACCCUUUAAUGUUUGAUGUUCUAACGUGGACCCGUGAUCCGGGUUGCGGACAGUGUCUGGUGGGUAGUUUGACUGGGGCGGUCUCCUCCUAAAGAGUAACGGAGGAGCACGAAGGUUGGCUAAUCCUGGUCGGACAUCAGGAGGUUAGUGCAAUGGCAUAAGCCAGCUUGACUGCGAGCGUGACGGCGCGAGCAGGUGCGAAAGCAGGUCAUAGUGAUCCGGUGGUUCUGAAUGGAAGGGCCAUCGCUCAACGGAUAAAAGGUACUCCGGGGAUAACAGGCUGAUACCGCCCAAGAGUUCAUAUCGACGGCGGUGUUUGGCACCUCGAUGUCGGCUCAUCACAUCCUGGGGCUGAAGUAGGUCCCAAGGGUAUGGCUGUUCGCCAUUUAAAGUGGUACGCGAGCUGGGUUUAGAACGUCGUGAGACAGUUCGGUCCCUAUCUGCCGUGGGCGCUGGAGAACUGAGGGGGGCUGCUCCUAGUACGAGAGGACCGGAGUGGACGCAUCACUGGUGUUCGGGUUGUCAUGCCAAUGGCACUGCCCGGUAGCUAAAUGCGGAAGAGAUAAGUGCUGAAAGCAUCUAAGCACGAAACUUGCCCCGAGAUGAGUUCUCCCUGAGACUUUAGGUCUCCUGAAGGAACGUUGAAGACGACGACGUUGAUAGGCCGGGUGUGUAAGCGCAGCGAUGCGUUGAGCUAACCGGUACUAAUGAACCGUGAGGCUUAACCUUACAACGCCGAAG
rnacentral:rRNA from 1 species